AUGAGACAACCAACUGUCGAAGACACGAAAAGGUUGACGGCAAUUGGAGCUGCAAUAGGUUUUCCAGGUAUGUUUGGUUCAGUUGGUUGCAUGUUAGCAAUGAAAGACUAUCUCAAAGGUUUGUGCGGGAUGUAUCAAGGUCACACCAAAGAGGCCACCAUCAUACUCGGAGUAGUGGCAUCCAGAGACUUGUGGAUUUGGUAUGAUUUCUUUGUCAUGUCUGGUUCUCACAAUGACAUUAUUUUGCUCGAGCGAUCUCCGUUGUCCAAGAGACUUUGUGAUGUGGAUGCUUCAUCGUGCAACUACAUCAUCAACUGA
rnacentral:rRNA from 1 species